rnacentral:rRNA from 1 species
GAUGAACGCUAGCUACAGGCUUAACACAUGCAAGUCGAGGGGUAACGAGAGGAAAGCUUGCUUUCCUUGUCGACGACCGGCGCACGGGUGAGUAACGCGUAUCCAACCUGCCCCCAACUAGGGAAUAACCUUGCGAAAGUAAGACUAAUACCCUAUAAUUUCCUCAGAUGUCAUCUGACGAGGAAUAAAGAUUUAUCGGUUGUGGAUGGGGAUGCGUCUGAUUAGCUUGUUGGCGGGGUAACGGCCCACCAAGGCAACGAUCAGUAGGGGUUCUGAGAGGAAAGUCCCGCACAUUGGAACUGAGACACGGUCCAAACUCCUGCGGGAGGCAGCAGUGAGGAAUAUUGGUCAAUGGGCGGAAGCCUGAACCAGCCAAGUAGCGUGCAGGAUGACGGCCCUAUGGGUUGUAAACUGCUUUUAUACAGGAAUAAAGUUAGCCACGUGUGGUUAUUUGUAGGUACUGUAUGAAUAAGGACCGGCUAAUUCCGUGCCAGCCGCCGCGGUAA